CCUACGGGUGGCUGCAGUCGAGAAUCUUCCGCAAUGGGCGAAAGCCUGACGGAGCGACGUCGCGUGCUGGACGAAGUGCUUCGGUACGUAAACAGCUUUUAUGUGGGACGAAAUUAUUGACGGUACCACAUGAAUAAGGGGCUCCUAACUCUGUGCCAGCAGGAGCGGUAAUACAGAGGCCCCAAGCAUUAUCCGGAAUCACUGGGCGUAAAGGGUGUCAAGGCGGUCAUGUUAGUCGUUCGUAAAAUCCACGGGCUCAACCUGUGGCGCGCGAGCGAAACGGCAUGACUUGAGGUCGGCAGAGGUGCGUGGAACUCACGGUGUAGGGGUGAAAUCCGUUGAUAUCGUGGGGAACACCAAAGGCGAAGGCAGCGCACUGGGCCGAAUCUGACGCUCACACACGAAAGCCAGGGUAGCGAACGGGAUUAGAUACCCUUGUAGUC
rnacentral:rRNA from 1 species